rnacentral:rRNA from 1 species
AUACGUAGGGAGCGAGCGUUGUCCGAAUUCACUGGGCGUAAAGCGCGCGUAGGCGGGUUUUUAAGUUGGGGGUGAAAUCCCGGAGCUUAACUCCGGAACUGCCUCCAAAACUGGGAGCCUUGAGGUAUGGAGAGGGAAGUGGAAUUCCAGGUGUAGCGGUGAAAUGCGUAGAUAUCUGGAGGAACACCCGUGGCGAAGGCGGCUUCCUGGCCAUAUCCUGACGCUGAGGUGCGAAAGCUAGGGGAGCGAACGGGAUUAGAUACCCCGGUAGUCCUAGCCGUAAACGAUGGAUACUAGGUGUUAGAGGUAUCGACCCCUCUAGUGCCGAAGCUAACGCAUUAAGUAUCCCGCCUGGGGAGUACGGCCGCAAGGCUGAA